rnacentral:lncRNA from 1 species
ACGGUGAUGGGGGCUGCGUGUGCCGUCGGCCGUGAUGGCAGGCGCGGUGGUCGGGAAAUGGUGGGUGGGCGUGAUACUGUGACGGCGGGUCGGGAGACGGCGUCUGGGCGUAAGACGGAGGCUGAGCUGCCUCUGUGUGCUGGAGCUUCCUCCCGCGGCAUGGAGAGGAGCUGCAGCCCGCACAUCGCAAGGGGAUGGAGGCCCCCCUCUCCCUGUCCAUCCAGCUGCUGAUUUUAUGUGGGUAUGUGUCCUUCUGCAACCUCACGUAUUAGUUUGAAUCAUACUAUUGUAUUCUGCUCGAAGCCCAAAUAGUAAACAGGACGCAUUUGGCUCAGAGUCGAUGCUCACAAACAUGGGGCUAAUUACAAACGGUGGACAUGAAUAAAUCAUAGGACUUACCGAAGCCUAUUAGACUGGAGUCUGUGUGCGUUUAUCUUAGCGGCGUGGCUCCCGGGAAUUCAGCUUGCAAGGAAGAACAGGGGAACAAUUUUAUAAAACCAAUGGCACGGAGUGUGCAUGAGGUUUGUAUGCUUAUAACAUUGUGCGUGGAAUUUAGGCUUACAUCUAUCGCACGGGUUAGGAAGGUGAUCCCGUAUUAAUUAAUUAAAGUUAAUGCGCAGAUUCUACGCAGGGGAUAUGAAGGAAUUAAUAGGGAAGGUAAUGACUUGGAAAGAACAUAGAUAUAGCCUGUGAUCCCGGACAGAUUCUCGUCUUCAUUUAUUUAUUUUAUUUCAAUACCAGCUGGAUUUACAACGAGGACAACACGUAUAAAAGCUGGAUUAUAUAUGAAGCUGUUUUAGAGGCGACAAAACACUAUGUGGCAGAUCAUUAUAGAGCAUUUCAGUGAAGUUUGCAUCACACUUGAACCCUCCUCAUUCGUUGAACGUGAACAUGGCUCAUUCGUUGGACGAUCAAGCUGGCCUGCUUCUGCAAGGACCCAACCGCAUCUCCUAGUGCGGCACGGCAGGCCGCCAGCUCGUAGGAUUGCUGGUUGUCUGGUUCGAAGACAAGCUGGCUCAUGUAUGUCGUUUUCAGAAACCCUACAAAAUAGGUUUAAUCAAACAAUACAAACCAAUGUUAAACUUUAUUUGUUAAUGCAAGGACUCACGUUUUUCUCUGUUGACCUCAAGCAGUGUGGCACCCAAAGUCCAGAGCCCCUGCUUCGCUAGUCCCCACCGUGUCAAGUGGCGUGACACAUGCUGGUCCCAGACGCGUAGGCAGAUAAACUCCCUCCUGUUUGAGCAAUGAAAUGUUUGCUCGCAUGACAGAGUAAAAUGCAUUAUACAUGUACCACUUGGAUGAAGUACUUACCGACUGUCCAUUAGCACCACAUGUCGGUAUGGCGUGGUACGGUCGGAUGACCUGUGUAACAUUAUGCGGCUGACAUGCAUCACUAUACCAAUGACAUCUGGGCAAUCAAUGUUCAGAAUUUAUUAACAAAGCCUGGCUGAACCACAUGUGAGCAUAAUUAAUCGUGAAAUGAUACAAAGCACCUGCAAGCAUCCUGUCUCUGAGGCUGUAGACAUUACUAAAAUCAAUGAAUAGUGGCGGCAACGUAGUGAUGUUAAUGCUGGCCCUUGCAAGACGUAUUUCAGUGCGCGAGUGGAGGGCGAUGUAAAAGUCACACGGUAGGCACAAAGCAACUGGCAGAUGCACACCUGCUGGUUCGAAACCAACUUUACUGAAAAAGUAUACUGAGCCGGCACGUAGGUUGUCCAUGAAGCGAUAUGCGAUAGGCUGAAACGGAUCGAACGCAAUUGCAUCCAUUUUGACCCCCUGUGAAAUUUAUUGCAUACAUUAGCAGCAUGUUCUUGUUUCCAUUUUGACCCCCCAAUGAAAUUUAUUGUAUACAUUUUGAAUUCUUACAGUCUGGUCGAUGAGGAUGGCGUGAAAGACGGCAGUUCCACUCCGAGUAUGUUUGAUGCGAGCAUACAAAACCUUUGCUGUUGCGUCCCAACCUCUACUGUAUAUGUGUAGGUUCUCUAUUUCGUUGAACCUUACAUGCCUGCAAUUGGUCAGCUUUGAGAAAGAGAACAAUAAUGCAGAUUAUACAUAUGCAAACAGCUAAAAGCAGGAGUGGAACUAAUGUUGCCUGUUGAUCGGAGGGGGGGAGCCAACGGGAGCAGAAACGAAGUUCACAGGUGGUGGUGCCAUGAUCCUCUUUGAGCCAGGACGGCCCAUCUUUGCCAAGACCCAUUUCUGUUCUGCACGACUCAUGGCCAGAACGCUGCAUGACUUUUAUAGCAUGGCAUUAGAUAAAUGGCGGGAAGAGAAGGACUCCUCAUUUUGUAUUGGCGGCAGAUAAAAAGACAUAAUUUGGCGCCAGGUAAAAUAUCAAAGAAGGAAAAAUAUUGACCACAGUAUCAAUGAAAUUUCUACGUUGAUCAAUCUCUCCUUCCUUCUUUUCUUUGAUAUUUCAAUGAUCUUUCCUUCUUUGAUAUUUCCUUCUUUGACUAAAACCAUUUGUUUGAAAGAAGGAAGGUGAUUGAAUGAAUUGAUUGCGUUAGGAUUAAUCGUGUCUGGUUUCCUUAUGUGAAAUGGUUGCGUUUGGAAUGAUUGCCUUGGUUACCAUAUGUGAUUGAUUGCCUGCUAGUACAAAUGCACUGUGCGAUCUAUGGAGAAAACCGUGUGGGAGAAAAAACGGGAGGGAGAAAAACUGGGAGGGGGGAAAGAAAAUCAAGUGGGCCGAGAGGUGGGUCAGGAGGGGAGGAAAGAAAAUCGGGGGCGAGGGGAUCGUACGAGUGGGUUGACGAACGUAAGAG